rnacentral:lncRNA from 1 species
AGCUUUUCCAGAUCUCUGGAGCCCUUUUCAGCUCAUUAGCAUUUGUGCUUGCCCUGGGGGAAGAAUCCACCAUUCCAGCUCAGGCAAUCAGCUGCCAGCUCCUCCCCUCUGUGAGCAAUGAUCCUAACUUCAGACCUUGCCUGAACAUUCUUCAUAGCACUUGCGUUCUUUUUCCUGAAAUCAAGGGUGUGUGGACCACCUGGGGAUCUCCAUUCCCACACACAGCAUCCUCUCCCACUGAGGCCAGACAUGGCAGUCCAUUAAGGGAACAGAUUCCAAAGAUAGGCAGCAGCUUUAUGGCCAGCCAGUGCUACAGUUAUUGGAGGACCCUCAUGAAGACUGAGCUGCACAUCUGCUACCUACAUGUCAGGGGCCUUAGUCCAGUGUAUCCUAUUUGGUCAGUGGCUCAAUUUCUGUGUGUCCCCAAGGGACACUCCUGGAAGAGUAGAAUUUGCUGGAUCCUUCCUAGAAGAGUCUACAAAGAUGUGAUGCAGGGAACCUACUUGGACCUCACUGUUAUAGGCCACACUUGGGAAGACUAUCAUAUUGAAGGACAUUGUCAAAGUUCGAGAAGACAUGAAAGGUAAUCUCCAUGUGCAAGCUGAUACACAUAGGCCUCUGAGGAAAUUUUAAUAUGUUCUGGAAGCUCUAAAGAAAAGCAAGAGUGCCGGGCAGUGGUGGCGGACACCUUUAAUCCCAGCACUUGGGAGGAAGAAGCAACAUAGUUAAACCUUAAAAUUUAUGUUUCUUCUAAAAUGACAUGGCGAUUAAAAUGACAGAUUUCUGAGUUCAAGACCAGCCUAGCCUGGUCUACAGAGUGAGUUCCAGGACAGCCAGGACUACACAGAGAAACCCUGUCUCAAAAAAAGAGAGAAAGAAAGAAAAAAGAAAGAAAGAAAGAAAGAAAGAAAGAAAGAAAGAAACAAACAAACAAACAAACAAAGAAACAAAGAAACAAACAAAGAAACAAAGAAAGAGACAAAGAAAGAAAAGAAAAGAAAAGGAGUAUAAAAUAUCAGUCUUUUAAGUGUAACUAUGAUUGUAAUAUUCUUACAAAAUCUUGUAACUCAAUGUCAGUUAUCUGAUUUUCUAUCAAAGCUUUCCUCCUUUAAAAAGAAAAGACAACAAAACAUUGCCUUAAGAGAUAAACUUUAUUUUAUUUAUAGCUCCAUUAGAGCUGUACUGUGGAUCCACCAAUGUGUAUACACUCAUAAUACUUAGAUAUUGCACAUUGAAUAGUGAUGAAUAUGUAUCCAAAAUCUUCUAAUAAGCAAAUAGUCCAUGGUAAACUUGGUGAUAAUCAUAUUCUUGUAGUGAUACCGAUAAGUUUGUUUAGAGUGCAGUUUAUGAGAUUCAAGAGUGUUGUCAUAGGAGAAACCUUAAUUCAUAUACUACAUGUCUGAGGAACAAAAAGUCAAACAGUGUGAAUGCAAUGUAGAACCUUUUCAUUUCUUAUUCUUCUUUUAAUAGUUGUAUCAUGUGUCCCAAUGGAUAAAAGCCAUGUGAACACAGGAAUAUUGAAAGAAGCAAUGUACCUUUUUCCUAUCACAGAAUAAUGAGAUAAUAUGUAGUAUUCUGCCUUUUGGAGACAUUCUGAAUAUGAUAGAAGUUUGCAUUUAAUUGAUUUUCUAAUAUUACUGGGAACAUCCCCAGACUCACACUCUAGAAGAUAUUUAUGGGUACUAGGGAUUUGGAUAUUCUUCUGUUUGUCCUGGUUAACAGGCAACAGGCACAUGUGGUAUAAUUUACAUUACAGGAAAAAUGAUGAAUGUAAUUAGUGUUAUAAAUCUCUGAGUUGUUCCAUUUUUCUUCAAAUUGGUAGAAUACAUCAUAUAAAAAAUCCCAUAUAAGAAAAGAUGUUGAGCCGGGCAACAUGCCUGUAAUGCCAGCACUUGGGAGGCAGAGGUAGGCAGAUUUCUGAGUUCAAGGUCAGCCUGGUCUACAGAGUGAGUUCCAGGACUGCCAGGGCUCUACAGAGAAACCCUGUCACAAAAAAAAAAAAAAGAAAGGAAAGAAAGAAAGGAUGUUAUAAAUAUCAGUCAUGUAAUAACCAUCACAGGUAUCAUGAAAGAUACAAAGCACCCAUUAUGAGGGAUAAAACUAUGACCCUAUGAAGUGAUACAACCCAAUGAUCUGAUUCUUCUUUAGACCAAAUUGUAAAGUUAAUUCAUACUGAUAAAACGAUUGAAUAGGGUAAUAAGUGUAGUAAAGAUUUCACAUCUGCUAGUUAUCAUUGCAGGCAUGUAAGACAUCGCAGAGGAGAGAAACCCUAUGAAUGUACUCAAUGUGGUAAAGCCUUUUCAUUUCCCAGUCAUCUCCAAUGUCAUAAAAGAAGACAUUCUGGAGAGAAGCCUUAUGAAUGUAAUCAAUGUGCUAAAGCCUUUGCAGAUCACACUGAGCUCCAAAGCCAUCAAACAACACAUACUGGAGAGAAACCUUAAGAACGCAAUCAAUGUGUAAAACCUAUUCACGAGGGAGAUGUCUCCAAAGACAAAAGAAGACAUUCUGCAGAGAGACCUUAUGAAUAUAACCAAUGUGGUAAAAGCCUUUUCACAAAGUUCUUGUCUUUAAAAACAUAAAAGAACCCAUAUAGGAGAGAAAUUUUAUGAAUGUAAUCAAUGUACUAAAGUUUUUGCAUAUCUCAGUAGUCUUCAAAACAUAAAAGAUCCCAUACUGGAAAGAAAUGUCAUGAAUGUAAUCAAUGUGUAAAGACCUUUUACAACUUUGUAGUCUCCAGUAUUAUAAAAAGAAUUAAAAAAAAGAAACAGAUACAGGAGAGAAACCGUGUGAAUGUAAUCAGUGUUGUAAACCCUUUUCCUCUUGCAGUUAUCUGCAACAACAUAAGAGAAUACAUACAAGAGAGAAACCUCAUGAAUGUUAUCAAUAUGGUAAAGUCAUCGCAUGUCAUAGUUCUUUACACAUAUACAAGCACAUACUGUAGAGAAACUGCAUGAAUGUUAUGAAUGAGGUAAACCCUUUCCAGAACACAGUCAUCUCCGAAUACAUAAAAGAAAAUAUACAGGAGAGAAACCUUAUGAAAAAAAAUAAAUUUGAUAAAGCCUUUGCCUAUCAUAGUCAUCUCCAAAUACAUUAAUAAGCACAUAGUGGAAAGAAGCCCUGUGAUUGUAAUAAAUGUGUUAAAGCCUUUGCAUGUCACUGUACUCACCACAUACUCAAAGGGACACAAACUUUAGAGAAACCUUUAGUGUCCAAAGGCAGAAAGGAGGCAGAUCUGAGCAUCUGUAUCUGAGGGUCGGGAUCAGGACAUCUUUUGCUAGGUUGGCAGCUUUGUCCCUGUGUCACCGAGA